GAUGAACGCUGGCGACGUGCCUAAUACAUGCAAGUCGAGCGAAUGGAUUAAGAGCUUGCUCUUAUGAAGUUAGCGGCGGACGGGUGAGUAACACGUGGGUAACCUGCCCAUAAGACUGGGAUAACUCCGGGAAACCGGGGCUAAUACCGGAUAACAUUUUGAACCGCAUGGUUCGAAAUUGAAAGGCGGCUUCGGCUGUCACUUAUGGAUGGACCCGCGUCGCAUUAGCUAGUUGGUGAGGUAACGGCUCACCAAGGCAACGAUGCGUAGCCGACCUGAGAGGGUGAUCGGCCACACUGGGACUGAGACACGGCUCAGACUCCUACGGGAGGCAGCAGUAGGGAAUCUUCCGCAAUGGACGAAAGUCUGACGGAGCAACGCCGCGUGAGUGAUGAAGGCUUUCGGGUCGUAAAACUCUGUUGUUAGGGAAGAACAAGUGCUAGUUGAAUAAGCUGGCACCUUGACGGUACCUAACCAGAAAGCCACGGCUAACUACGUGCCAGCAGCCGCGGUAA
rnacentral:rRNA from 1 species